UAGGGAAUCUUCCGCAAUGGACGAAAGUCUGACGGAGCAACGCCGCGUGAGUGAAGAAGGAUUUCGGUUCGUAAAACUCUGUUGUUAGGGAAGAAAAAAUGUAUAGUAACUAUAUACAAAAGAGACGGUACCUAACCAGAAAGCCACGGCUAACUACGUGCCAGCAGCCGCGGUAAUACGUAGGUGGCAAGCGUUGUCCGGAAUUAUUGGGCGUAAAGCGCGCGCAGAUGGUUUAGAAAGUCUGAUGUGAAAGCCCACGGCUCAACCGUGGAGGGUCAUUGGAAACUAAUAAACUUGAGUGCAGGAGAGAAAAGUGGAAUUCCUAGUGUAGCGGUGAAAUGCGUAGAGAUUAGGAGGAACACCGGUGGCGAAAGCGGCUUUUUGGCCUGCAACUGACACUGAGGCGCGAAAGCGUGGGGAGCAAACAGG
rnacentral:rRNA from 1 species